UACGUAGGGUGUGAGCGUUAAUCGGAAUUACUGGGCGUAAAGCGUGUGCAGGCGGUUUGGUUAGUUGGAUGUGAAAGCUCCUGGCUUAACUGGGAGAGGUCGUUCAAUACUGCCAGACUUGAGGAUGGGAGAGGAAGGUGGAAUUCCGAGUGUAGUGGUGAAAUGCGUAGAUAUUCGGAGGAACACCAGUGGCGAAAGCGGCCUUCUGGCCCAUCUCUGACGCUCAUACACGAAAGCUAGGGGAGCAAACGGG
rnacentral:rRNA from 1 species